UUUUGGCAGAAUGCCCAGAAUAUGUUCUAAGUUAAGAUAGGAGACUGUGCCAGACACAUGCAGGAACCAAACCUAUGAACCAUGCUGUCAUGACUGUCCUGUGAGGAUCCAGAUGUGUCGGAUCAGCUUUGCAGUGGAUGAUUUCAACCAGACCCUCUCUCACCCACAGAAGCGAUUACAGCCUUGAGUCUUCUUGUGUAUGACGCUACAAGCUUGGCACAAAUAUAUUUGGCGAGCUUCUUUCAUUCUUCUUUGCAGAUCCUCUCAAGCUCUGUCAGGUUGGGGAGCGUCACUGCACAGCUAUUUUCAGGUCUCUCCAGAGAUGUUAGAUUGGGUUCAAGUCCGGGUUCUAGCUGGGUUCUCAAGGACAUUCAGAGACUUGUCCAGAAGCCAUUCCUGCGUUGUCUUGGCUGUCUACUUAGGGUCGUUGUACUGUUGGAAGGUGAACCUUCACCCCAGUCGGAGGUCCUGAGUGCUCUGGAGCAGGUUUUCAUCAAGGAUCUCUCUGUACUUUGCUCCAUUCAUCUUUCCCUCGAUCCUAACUCGUCUCCCAUGCUUUUCUCAAGACCUCCUGCCCAAGAUGCAGAAAACUCGAUUAAGAUGAAGAAUUUUAGGAAUGAUUCAAAUGUAACAUAGUGAAAACUAAGUACAUAUUUAUUUUCUUUCUUCCAGGACUGAUGGAAUGUCCACUACAAAGUUUUUUUUGACAAGUUUACCAAUGAUUCUCUAUCUCUCCCUUUGAAAGGCUUCCUGAGGCAGAGAGAGAGGCGGACAAUUCUACAAAAUAAAUUCACUUUUCACCAGCGAUCAAGAUGACACACUGAGCGAUUGGCCCUCUGACUCCCUGACCCUGUAACUCUCGCCAAGAUCUGGGACCACAGAUGGUAUCCAGAUGCAUGGAAGCGAUAAUUCGACCGAGAACAGUGAACCAAACCCCCUCUAACCGGCUGAAGUAAUGGCAACAAUGGCCUUCACUAUGGCCCUGUCCACCACUUCUACAUGAGUCCUGAGACUUUCCAUGUGGAGUGAGCAUAGAGAGAGAAUGAUUCCAAACUUCUCUCAUGCUGCUGGUGUACUGGUCUGAAAAUGUACAAGACAUAAUGAACCGUAAAGGAUGGUAGCGGCUCAGGUGAGAUUCGUCUGCUUGGAAAAAUCUGAUUAUUCCCCAGAUAUUGAAAUCCGGACAUUAUCAAGGGCCAUCCACAUUGAACAUAUUUUUGGGAGGACGAACUGUAAAAGCUAUCUGAAGAAGAAAAUUAAGAAACACUAGAAGAAUGAGUGCCGUGAAGGAGGGGGCUGGUCAACCAUGCCCGAAAUUGAUUUAGGCUUGUCCAAAAUUCUUUAUUUGGGGUAUCAGAUUGAUUGUGGAGGUCUGCACACUGUGAAAUGUAUAGUAAUUUAGACUAAGAAUGCAUUGAGAUACCAAUCUGUCAUUACCACAACUGGGGGCAGUGAUGAAAAAAGUUCAUGCUAGAAAUAUAAGAAGAUGAACAUACUGUAUGUCAAUAUAAAUGUACAUUCUGCCAGUGUCGGUGUGUUCUAAGUUGAGGGUCUUAAAUGGAACCAACGUGAAGCACUAAGUACUGUCAUUCUAAAUUUGGGUUGGAUAAAUUAUCAAUAGUUCUAAUUAUGAUUUGGAAAGGUGAGGCUUCUAGAGACAGAGCGAUGCCCCUAAAAUGUGAGUGUCACAUUCUGAAAUUAGUUAUUUUGUUAUGUCUUAGUUUUAGUAUGGUCAGGGCGUGAGUUGGGUGGGUUGUCUAUGUUCGUUUUUCUAUGUUGUGUUUUGAGUUUGGCCUGUUAUGGUUCUCAAUCCGAGGCAGGUGUCGUUAGUUGUCUCUGAUUGAGAAUCAUACUUAGGUAGCCUUUUUCCACCUGUGUUUUGUGGGUGUUUAUUUUCUGUUCUAUGUUUGUAUUUCACCGUUCAGGACUGUUUUCGUUGCGUUCUCGUGUUUUGUUGUU